GUGCCAGCAGCCGCGGUAAUACGAGAGGCCCAAACGUUAUUCGGAAUUACUGGGCUUAAAGAGUUCGUAGGCGGCUUGGAAAGUGGGGUGUGAAAGCCCUCGGCUCAACCGAGGAAUUGCGCUCCAAACUCCCAAGCUUGAGGAGGCUAGAGGUGAGCAGAACUGAUGGUGGAGCGGUGAAAUGCGUUGAUAUCAUCAGGAAUACCGGAGGCGAAGGCGGCUCACUGGGACCUUUCUGACGCUGAGGAACGAAAGCUAGGGGAGCGAACGGGAUUAGAUACCCCUGUAGUCC
rnacentral:rRNA from 1 species